rnacentral:rRNA from 1 species
GACGGAGGAUGCAAGCGUUAUCCGGAAUGAUUGGGCGUAAAGCGUCCGCAGGUGGCAGUUCAAGUCUGCUGUCAAAGACCGGGGCUUAACUUCGGAAAGGCAGUGGAAACUGAACAGCUAGAGUAUGGUAGGGGCAGAGGGAAUUCCUGGUGUAGCGGUGAAAUGCGUAGAGAUCAGGAAGAACACCAACGGCGAAGGCAGCUCGCUGGGACGGUACUGACGCUGAGACGCGAAAGCGUGGGGAGCGAACAGG